AUGAAGAAGCAUGAGGAUUAGCGCUCCCAUGAGAGGGUACACCUGUCAGCAAACUCAGACCAGGAUGUGACUUAUGUUCCAGAUAGCUUUUCCUCAUUUUCUGGGGGUGUCACUGGAGUGAUUUUCAGACUACUCAGCCAUGCCUUUUUACAGCGCUGCUGGAAUCGACAGCAGAUUAUUAAUAUGCUUCAGAGGGGGGGGGGAGUUUGUGUCUUUGUUUAUCCAUUUUUCCACUCCCACAUACUAGUCAGCAGAAUAAUAAGUGGAAGUGCAGAACUGGACCACUGUCUUACCAGCUAAUUAUGGGGCUCAUGUAGAUGGAUGAUUCCUCAGAUAGAGCUCAGCUAUUAUACAAACUCAUUAAGCAGCCUCUCCAUCCAGCAUCCCUUGCUAAAGGUCAAAGUCACAGGCACAAUGACAACACAAAGCACAAACACAUGCAUGCACAAGCAGACAUGCAGAAACACACAACUCUACAGCUAUAUAGUUUAUAAUCAUAUCCUAAUGGGCGCUGUGACUGCAAAGGGGAAAGGAAGGCAGCAGCUUAGUGCAAGAGAAUGACUCAGCCUUGGUCACUUGUGAGGUUGCUCAUAAUGAUCUCUCUCAUUCAGCUAAUCUGCUCUGUGUCCUAAUAGGCGGUUCAAGCUGGAGUGUGUCUCCUAGUCACUGUUUCACCCCCUUACAGCACCCAUUUCAAAUAAGAGAACAUGUAUAAAUAUAAAAAUGCAUAGUCUUAUAUAUCAUCUUCUUACAGUGAAAUAGUUUUUCCUCAGCUGUUUUAAAGGCCUUAUUUGAGUUUUUUUCUCUCUCUCUGUUUGCUGAGUCAAAGCAGGGCCACAACCUCCUCCACCACCUCUCCUCCAUCUGAUUCCUCCGGAUGCAGCAUCCUCAGCACCCUCUGCUCCCUCAAUCAGACUACAAUGAACAAUCGCAGCUCUUUGGGGAGUUGACACAUUCAGUUGUUCAUCGAUUUGUGGCGUUGUAAUUAAUUUUUCUCUCUGUCAUAGGCUUGAGUUACAAUAUCCUGAGACUUGAAGCAGCUCGUCCUGCUACUAUCAAUCAUAAAACCGAGACAGAACCAACACUUCUCUUGUAUCAUCUUGAAUUAUUCACCGCAGCUUUGAAAUAAAAGAGACCGGACUCAGUGACCGCAGAGAAGGUCCCAAGAGGAGGCAGCAGCAUCCCGGCACAGACUCGUGGAGAGGGAGGGAGAGAGAGGAGAGUCUGAUAGGAGAAGCUCAGCCAACACCGCUGGAUCUGACAGAGAGGGAGAAACACAUAGGCCAGCCACACCAAUAUUCUUCCUUUUACCUGUGUCUCAUCUCAUCACUCAACUUCACAAACAUGUCUGUAUGUGAGGUUGACGAAACACAACCAGCCCUUCUUGGAGUCCAAUAACAGGAGUAAGGCAAUUGUACGAAUAUGAUGAUCCACUCAGGGUGCUCCAGUGUAAGAAAACAAGCAAAUGAAGCUCUUCACCAUUUCACCUUCACAGAGAAACACACUGUGUGUCUGUUUUUACACAUCAUCCUUGAUGUCCCAGUAAAAAAAGAAAUAAAAGUCUAAUUCAUCCUAGGUAAUGUUGACUGGGAGCAAAGCAACACCUGAGACCCGGUGCAGUAAAAAGGCUCUAAAUCACCAGAUUCACCCGUCAGAGACAUUUCUCAGUCUAUUAAAACCAAUAUAUGCCACUUAGUGCUGAAGUUACAGCCCAUCUGUGUGGUAUUCCUGUUGCCUGCUUUAACUCUGCAACUCAUAAAUCACACCAAUACUGUUCACACUGUAAUGCAGCUGACAAGUUUUAGAGCGGAUUCAAACUUUAUUGUGGGUACUGCAAAUCACCAUGAUUCAUGUGGGUGACACUGAAAACAGUAUCUGGUGCAAUAGAUUGAGUGCAUAUUGUGCUAAAAGAGACUAUGUGCUUUGUGUAUACUUGUUGAUUAACACGUUUCAUUGUGUUGUUUUCUUUUGGUGAAUAUGUACUGGUACAACAGGAUAAUUCACAUAUUUCACAGCCAUGUGCGUAUUCAAUUUCUUUCCAAUAUACAUAUAUUUUUAUCAUGUUGCACUUAUUGGGUCUCAUUCAUGAAACGUGAGCCAAUCUGUGUGUAGAUUUGCACAUACAAGCUCACGCUGCUAAAACUCGGAUUCAUGAAUGGCGCGGGAAACUCAGAUUGGAACGUAAACGUGUGUAAGAUAAUGAAAGCCAACCCAUCGUAAAUUGACAGCGCUCCUGGUGAUCAUCAAUUAGCAUAAAUCCCCGCCCAUGAAUAGCAAAUAACCACCAUAUAAGGGCACAGACCUGUGCAUCUGGUCAACCUGCCCUGCAAUCAUGGCGCAAGGAAAAAAGGAUAGAGAGUGAAAAAAGAACUUCUCUGAGGCGGAGAUUGAAAUUAUUAUGGGCGAAGUGGAUUGUAGGAAGCACAUUUUAUUUUCUAUGGAUAUAAAAUGGUAAGUCUCUACAUAUAAAACACAUGCAUUUGUAUAGAAGACUUCAUUCUUACCGACAAGCCAGCCGUCUCUCACAGCUCCAAACUCCAAACGGGUGCCAACUGCACUAUUGCUCAGUAUGGAGCUGUCAUGCAUCCCACCGGGCCACCGAGACACAACGUUGAGCAACACACAGUUUGCAUCACAUGUCAGCUGCACAUUCAUGGAAGGAAAGUUUUUCUGGCUUAUGUAUGCAGAUGCAUCGUCAGAUAGAGCCUUGAUGCGUAUGUGUGUGCAGUCUAUGGCACCGAUGACAUUUGGCAUGUUGGCCAGCGCGCUAAACCCCCGCUUUACCUCGAUUUGCUGUUGUGCGCCAUAGGGGAAUUGAAUGUACUCUGGCCUUAAUUCAAUAAUGCCGGCAAGUACUGCCGGUAAAAUGCGUCUCAUUGAUGGCUGGGAGACUCCAGAUCUAUCUACCAUCUCCCGCUGGAAGGUCCCUGUGGCUAAGAAUCCCAGCUUGGAGAGCACCUGCAAAUGUACAGAUAUAGCGUGGCUUCUUUUAGUUUACCUUGUCAGAUUAGGCUCCAGAAUGUUGCAUAAAUGCAAGUGUUUUAUUAUCAUCAUAUUUUAUUUAUUGGUAUCAUUAA